CAAAUACUUCCUUCGUCCGGAAAUACUUGUCAUAGGAAUGGAUGUAUCUAAAUGUAUUUUAUUUUUAGAUACAUCCAUUUGUAUCUAUUUUUAUGACAAGUAAUUCUAGGCGGAGGGAGUAUGUU
rfam:Hordeum vulgare subsp. vulgare, WGS project CAJW01000000 data, contig: morex_contig_49160